UUGAAGCAAUCAACGACGCUUAAAAGCGUCGUCGCGGACCUAACACAAAACGACGCUUAUAAGCGUCGCCGAAGCCCACUUAAUACCCAGCGGCCGACCCCGAGCCCGCAAAAUUGCCCUAGCCCCCAUUCCUCUCAAGCUCAUCUUCCUCGUCCCGGCGCUGCCUUAGCCCCCAUUCCUCGUCUCCGGCGCUGCCUUAGCCCCCAUUCCUCGUCUCCGGCGCUACCUCCUCUCCGGCACGUCGCUUCGCCAUUUCGUUCGUUCGCUCAACUCUUCGGCGUCAACGUCCAAGGUAUGUCCUGGAAUUUGAUUUAGCAGAGGCUGGGAGGGAGAGGGAGAGGGAGAGGUGGAGGUGGCCGAGGCUCGUCGGGGUUGUUGGGAAAUUUAGAGGCGAGCCGGGAGAAGAAGAAACCCAUUUAUUUAGCAAAGACCGAGAGGGAGAGGGAGAGGUGGCCGGGGGUCGUCGGGGGUUAUCGGGAAAUUUGGAGGCCAGCCGGGAGAAGGCAAAAACCCAGGAAUUUAGCAGAGGCCGGGAGGGAGAGGGAGAGGAAGAGGGAGAGGUGGCUGGGGGUCGUCGGGGGCUUCUCCUCCUUCGCCGGGGUCGCCGAGGGUCGUCGGGGGUCGUCGGGGGCUUCUCUUCCUUCGCCGAGGUCGUGGGGGUCGUCGAGGGUCGCCGGGGGUCGUCGGGGGCUUCUCCUCCUUCGUCGGGUGUUUUCUUGGGCCGGCAGGGAGAGAGAGCGGCGAGGGAUUUGGGGACGGUAUAGUUUUGUUUUGGGUGGAGAGAAACAGAGGGGAGAAAGAUAGGGGGAUUACUUCACCUUUUUGGUUUUGGUCUUGGUUUUCCUUCCCUCACGUUACUCCUGAUCCAGCUGGGCCAUCGGGAAGAAAGAUAGGGGGAUUGGAGAGACUAUGUUAUGUGAAAAUCAUCUUUUCAAUAGCUUCAUUCGGUAAGAAGGCUGAGAUUCUUGGAUCACUUCUCAUGAUUUUUUUCUCCACUAUAUUAGAUUUUCUUCUUUGUGUUUGGUAUGGCCUUUGCAGAAUGCAUAGUGCUUAAUUAUAUUUUCUCCACUAUCUUGGUCCCAUGCUGGUAUACCUGCUCCAUCUCUUAUCCCUGCAGCUCUACAGGUGCCUCCUGGAAAAGUUUUAGUUCCUGCAGUAGUUGACCAGGUUCAGGGGCAGGCACUGACAGCACUGCAAGUUCUUAAGAUGCGGAAGACCAAAGGAAGGACAUAAAGUUGUUCAUUAAUUCACCUGGUGGCUCUGUGACAUCUGACAACAUAUUCGGACAUUUAAACAUAUCAACAACUUGCAAGGAUAAGAAAUCAAACAGUAGGUGAGUUGAUGUUUCUCGAACUGGUUGUUGUUGACAUUCUUAAAUAAAUUUCAUGUGUUCAUGCUUGUGUUGGUACAUCCACAGGGAUUGUAGGUGAAGAGCCCUCUCUUUCACCCCUUUCACCGACACUGUUAUCUGUAAACUUUUUAAGCUUGCUGAGUGGGAACUGCUGAUUGAUUUUUACACCAGUUCUGCGAAAAGAAAGCCUGGACAAAUUAUUAUUUUCAGGGAUGGAGUAAGUGAGUCGCAGUUUAAUCAGGUCUUAAACAUCGAGCUGGAUCAAAUUAUUGAGGCUUGCAAGAAUCUUGAUGAACAGUGGUCUCCUAAGUUCACUGUGAUAAUUGCUCAGAAAAAUCAUCACACAAAGUUUUUCCAAGCUAAUAACCCUCAAGAGAAUGUUCCACCUGUUGCACCCGUUUGCUAUGCCCACCUAGCGGCGACGCAGCUGAGUCAGUUUAUCAAGUUCGACGACAUGUCCGAUACUUCUUCAAGCCAUGGUGGAUUCUCAGCAGCUGGGGGUUACUCUGUUCCAGAGUUACCCAGGCUGCAUGAAAAGGUGUGCAAUUCCAUGUUUUUUUGCUAAGGUGGCUGUGCUGUGUAUGGCAGAGCCAUUUUUUGUUUAUCAGGAUGGAACUAAUUUAGCAGUUGCUGGAAACUGUUUGCGCAUGUCUUGGCCCUUGUUGAAUUUGGAUUAUGCACUGUCUUCUUCUGCUUUGCACGGCCUUAAGUUUGUCUUGCUUGUGUA